rnacentral:lncRNA from 1 species
GGUUUUUUUAAAGAAUUAGAAUCGUAAUUUUCAGGUGCCUUGUGGUAAGUCUGCAUUUUAGGGUAUCUGAUCUAAACAAAAGGCCUUAUUUUAUGACUUAAAAUUCUAUUAUGAUACUUAUUUUUUUGUGGUUUUUAUGAGUUUGUUAAUAAAGAGUGACUGAGGUCAUGGUUUACAUCUCUAUUGGCUAAACAAAGAAUUGACCUAGUUCUUUCAGAUAAUUUAGCAAAAAACAGCCUGUCGCUUUUUUUUUUUUUUAAUUCUGGACUCUUCCUUCUAGAAGUUUCUAUAUACUAUUUUAUUUCCAAUUGUUGAAAAUUAGUGAUUCUCUGCUUUUUGAGUUCUCUGCUCUCUGAAAAUAAUGGGUAUAGUUAGUGGGCAUCUAUUAUAAACUAACCAGGAGAGUUUGGCAAGUCAUUCUUUCAUGGGUGAAAAGUAUACUAUCUGCAUUGUUUAAAAUGGUAGCCACCAACCAUAUAUAUAGCUCCUGAGCAUUGGAAAUAUGGCAAGUACAACUAGGAGCUGAACUUUUUAUCUUUAAUCAAUUUAAAUUUAAAACCAUUCAGUUCAAAUACUGGACAACAUUUAAGUGUGUUUAUUAUAGUAGGUCACAUUUUCAAUUAUAAAUGUUAUAAAAUCUAAAUGCAGAUCAGUAGUUUCCAGGAAAAUGGUAUUCAAAUAAAAAAUUAUUUAGUUAUAAAAUUCACAUUGGAUUUCACAGAAGUAUGAAAAAAAGAAUUCAAACACUUGUUAAUAUCUUUAUGUUGAUGUCAUGUUGAAUGGAUACUAUAUUGGAUUAAAUAAAAUUAAAAUUAAUUUCAUAUGUUUUAAUGUUAGAAUAAAAUUUAAAAUUGUACAAGUGGAUCACAUUAUAUUUCUGUUGGAUAUUACUGCUUUAGAUGGUACUAACCAUGGUCCUAUGGUUUAGGUACCUGAAAGAAAAAUAAACUGUAGAUUAUUAAAUUUGCUUUUUUUUUUUUUUUUUUAAGAAUCUCUUAGAACAAUUGUUAAAACAGCCUCCAACCUGGAAUCCCUGCUUUCAGUGUCUGUACCCUUAUUCAUCAGAGUUCUUAACAGUUGUUUUUCAAAACUCCUUAGCAUAAUAUACAAGGCCCCUCACUGCCUGGUCUUUAUUUCUUUUGCCAACACCUUCAUCCAACACUCAUACAAAGGCCAUUUGGGAAUACUGGACUCUUUCAUACCACUUUGCAGUUCAUUUUAUAUUACAGGUUUGCUCAUUCUCCCCUCUCCUUUUUCUCCCUUUCUUUAUCUCUUUCUCUCCCAACAUUCCCUCCUUUCUUUUUUAAUAUGUAGUCUUGCUAUGAUUUUCCCACCUCAGGUUUCCAAGUACUUGGGAUUUUAGAUGUGCAUUACCAUGUUUUCUUUUGUCUGAAAUAAAUGUGAAUCCUUUCAAUACCAUCUUUCCUUGUCCUCCAACUCCUCCAGAAAAGUUAGCUUGUAUGUGCUUCCCUCCAGUUGGGCUUUGACCUUUGGGUACAGGCUUACCACAUGAUUUUUUUUUUAUUACUAUUAGUGUACUUGCUUCCCACAUUAAACUAUCUAAUCCCAGGAGCUCUGUCUUGAUUUUAUUUGGAUUUGUUUUUGUAUCAUCAAAACUUAGCAUCUAGUUGAAUUCUGUAUUUAUUAAUUGGAUAAUGCAGUAGCAAAGGGGUAAUCUAGUGACACCCUGCUGACCUUUCUCCACAAAUGCAUUGGAACCAGGUUGCUGGGGUUAGAAUCUCAGCUUCACCA